rnacentral:rRNA from 1 species
UACGUAGGUGACAAGCGUUGUCCGGAUUUACUGGGCGUAAAGAGCGCGCAGGCGGUCGUGCAAGUCGCGUGUGAAAGCCCCCGGCUCAACUGGGGAGGGUCACGCGAUACUGAUCGACUCGAAGGCAAGAGAGGGUAGUGGAAUUCCCGGUGUAGUGGUGAAAUGCGUAGAUAUCAGGAGGAACACCGGUGGCGAAGGCGGGUCUCUGGGCAGUAACUGACGGCUGAGGAGCGAAAGCGUGGGGAGCGAACAGG